rnacentral:rRNA from 1 species
GGAAUCUUGCGCAAUGGGGGAAACCCUGACGCAGCAACGCCGCGUGAGUGAGGAAGGCUUUCGGGUCGUAAAGCUCUGUCGGAUGGGAAGAAAUGGUUGGAAGCUAAUACCUUCCAUCCUUGACGGUACCAUCAGAGGAAGCACCGGCUAACUCCGUGCCAGCAGCCGCGGUAAUACGGGGGGUGCAAGCGUUGUUCGGAAUCAUUGGGCGUAAAGCGCGCGCAGGCGGCUUGGUAAGUCAGAUGUGAAAUCCCUGGGCUUAACCCAGGAAGUGCAUUUGAUACUGCCUCGCUAGAGUACGGGAGAGGAAAGUGGAAUUCCUGGUGUAGAGGUGAAAUUCGUAGAUAUCAGGAGGAACACCGGUGGCGAAGGCGACUUUCUGGCCCGAUACUGACGCUCAGGCGCGAAAGCGUGGGGAGCAAACAGGAUUAGA